CACACUGCCGAGAAAAGCCUCUAGAUAGAAAAUAGGUGCCCGUACCGCAAACCGACACAGGUAGUCAAGAUGAGAAUUCUAAGGUGAGCGAGCGAACUCUCGUUAAGGAACUCGGCAAAAUGACCCCGUAACUUCGGGAGAAGGGGUGCUCUUUAGGGUUAACGCCCAGAAGAGCCGCAGUGAAUAGGCCCAAGCGACUGUUUAUCAAAAACACAGGUCUCUGCUAAACCGUAAGGUGAUGUAUAGGGGCUGACGCCUGCCCGGUGCUGGAAGGUUAAGAGGAGUGGUUAGCUUCUGCGAAGCUACGAAUCGAAGCCCCAGUAAACGGCGGCCGUAACUAUAACGGUCCUAAGGUAGCGAAAUUCCUUGUCGGGUAAGUUCCGACCCGCACGAAAGGCGUAACGAUUUGGGCACUGUCUCAACGAGAGACUCGGUGAAAUCAUAGUACCUGUGAAGAUGCAGGUUACCCGCGACAGGACGGAAAGACCCCGUGGAGCUUUACUGUAGCCUGAUAUUGAAAUUCGGCACAGCUUGUACAGGAUAGGUAGGAGCCUUUGAAACGUGAGCGCUAGCUUACGUGGAGGCGCUGGUGGGAUACUACCCUAGCUGUGUUGGCUUUCUAACCCGCACCACUUAUCGUGGUGGGAGACAGUGUCAGGCGGGCAGUUUGACUGGGGCGGUCGCCUCCUA
rnacentral:rRNA from 1 species